UACGUAGGUGGCGAGCGUUAUCCGGAAUGAUUGGGCGUAAAGGGUGCGUAGGCGGCCUGCUAAGUCUGGAGUGAAAGGUACCGGCUCAACCGGUACAGGCUCUGGAAACUGGCGGGCUUGAGUGAUGGAGAGGCAGGCGGAAUUCCGUGUGUAGCGGUGAAAUGCGUAGAUAUACGGAGGAACACCAGUGGCGAAGGCGGCCUGCUGGACAUUAACUGACGCUGAGGCGCGAAAGCUGGGGGAGCGAACAGG
rnacentral:rRNA from 1 species